UCUGGCUCUGCUGACACCGAUUCUACAGCUUAUGCUUCACUCCUCUGUGUACCAUAACUUCCUGGCAGUCAAGGUCACUAGGUGAAGAUGCGAUCACUGUUAACAGACACCCUAGCUACAGGUGACGUCUGCAAUGACGCAAGCACGCUAAGGUUGGCAACGGUAGGUGAUUGGCGGCUUCCGGUGGUGGAACCUGACAACGUGCAGCGUCUCAUUCAGGAUGACGUAAUGGGAGCGCCGGGUAAACACCGCUAGAGGCCGUAUGGACACGAGGAACAUCAUUGCCCUACUGGGAGCAAGCUGUACCCAUCUACACUGUGCGCACAGUUAUUAGGCAAGGAGAAUCUCAAAGCACAUUCACGCAACCAACUUACCUACACAGUGCAGCAAACUCUUCUGAUCCGCGAUCAAUAGAACGGGUCUACUACAUACAGAACUGACAUGCAGAGAGUGACUUAAUCGAUGACGUUGCGCUAUCUUGCGCAAGCGCAACAAGGAUAACGGUCGCGAUCUUCCAACCGCGGUUGUCAGCCCGGAAUGAACAACAAUAAGAUUGUAAAAUGGAGUGGGUUUGGAAAUUGUUAAAAACUUCUAAGCCAAGCAUCUUUAAAAACGGCAAGUAAUUGAAACAGAUAGGGCAUUGUAAUUAGGUUGAUUUUUGUGGUUUCUUUUCAGCGGUGAUACUUUUUUUGUGCCUUCAGUGUCCCUUUAAAUAAAAAGAUAGAAGUGCUCCACAGUAGCUUGUUCUAUGGCUAGUUAGUUACCACACAAGAAGCAGCAGCCUCUUUUUGCUCAACAUGUGCCUUUCACAGGGAAGAACUUUCCUGUAGCAUAUCAGUCUGAUUGUGACUCAACAGUGCAGUCCAGACCCGAAAUACUAGGCAGUCCCUCUAUGAACGAGAAAAAUGGCAAAACCCCAGAUGUACGUUUCGGCCUAUUGUGGGCCUCAUCAGUGAGGUGCAGCCAUAUCCCUCUAGGGACACUGAGCAACGGGUCCACGUCUGGCUUCCCGCAUCACCCUUAGGGAGACUUCCUAAGAGUCAUAAUUUGCAUGAAUUAAAAGAUAGAAGCGCUCAACCUAGGAACCAACAAUAGCAUAAUAUCUUGUUCUAUGGCUAGUUACCACCCAAGAAGCAGUCUCUUUUUGCUCAACAUGUGCCUUUCACAGAGAAGAACUUCCCUGUAGCUUGGGUACUAGCUAUAGAACAAGCUAUUAUGCUAUUGUUCGUUCCCAGGUUGAAUGCUUUUCUCUUAAUUUAUGCAAAUUAUGACCCUGACAGAAGUCUCCCCAAGGAUGAUAAAGUAAAUUUAAAACUGUCACACUUAGAUACUCUGUAUAAUGUAAGUUUAAUUUUAAAUUUUCCUAUUCCUUUAAUGGAAGAAUGGCAAUGCUGAAAUCCAAGACAAAACUGUUGAGAUUGUGUUUAUAAGCUACAGUGGUUUGUAACCUGUACAUACAUAUAUAAAAGUUUUUUGCACUGCAUGAUUAAAUAUUUCACUUGUAUUUGCAUAAUUUAAGAAAAUAUGCAAUAACAUUCAGAAACAAACACACUCCUCAUCUACAUUCAGACCAUUUUUAAAAACGUAUCAGCCUGCUAUUCGCAAAAAAAUAAAAAGCAGUAGUUUUUACAUAAAGAUUGUUACAAGGUAUAAUAAUUACCAAUGUUUCAGUGCACCAUUAACCAGAACAUUUGUUCCCUAAAGGAUUCCAAUACAAUAAUAAAUGCAUCUGAACUGAA